AUCUUUGCUGGAUUUCUUCACAGUCGGAUAUCUUCAAGGUCAGGCUCCUUCAGGCAUUCAAGGCCUGUUAUCCUUUCUUCUCAGAGUUGCCAUGUUGGAUACUUACAAGCCAGGAUAAAGUUUUCAGGAUGUCUUUGCUGGACUUCUUCACAGUCAGAUUUCUUCAAAGUCAGACUCCUUCAAGCAUUCAAGUCAGAUAUUUUUUCAAGUUGAAUUCUUCAAGUCAAGUCAUCCAUUCUCCCAAGUAUCAUCUUGAAUGAUAACAAGCCUGGAAAUAGGUAAGUUACACAUGCAGCAAUGUAUUUGGUUCUAACAAGAUUUUUCUUUAUUGUAGGAUUUUUCACGGCCAAGUGUGUACUGACUGAUUUUAUUCAAAAAGAUUUUCCAUUUCUCAGGCUGAGAACACUAAUACUAAUUUUGGUGGCUUGAAAAUCACAUGGGGCAAUAAUAUUAUUUCUAAAAUUAGAAAAAUCCUAUCGAUUGGGAAGCACACAACCUGAUCCUUACAACUUGCAAUCUCCAGAUGGAAUCUGCUGUCAUUCAUUAAAGUUUCUGAAACUCUCCUACA